CAGCAGCCGCGGUAAUACGUAGGUGGCAAGCGUUGUCCGGAAUUAUUGGGCGUAAAGGGCUCGCAGGCGGUUUCUUAAGUCUGAUGUGAAAGCCCCCGGCUCAACCGGGGAGGGUCAUUGGAAACUGGGAAACUUGAGUGCAGUAGAGGAGAGUGGAAUUCCACGUGUAGCGGUGAAAUGCGUAGAGAUGUGGAGGAACACCAGUGGCGAAGGCGACUCUCUGGUCUGUAACUGACGCUGAGGAGCGAAAGCGUGGGGAGCGAACAGGAUUAGAUACCCCUGUAGUCCCUGUCUCUUAUAC
rnacentral:rRNA from 1 species